rnacentral:SRP_RNA from 1 species
GCUGGGCAUGGUGGCACACACCUGUAGCCCCCACUACUUGGGAGACUGAAGCCCAACACUUGCUUGAGCCCAGGAGUUCUGCGCUGUGGCUGCUAUGCCAAUCAAGUAUCUAGACUAGGUUUGGCAUCAAUAUGGUGACUUCUCAGGAGCAGAGACCACAAGUUUGCCUAAAGAGGGGUGAACCAGCCCAGGUAAAAACCAGGGCAGGUCAAAAUUCCCAUAUUGAUCAGUAAUGGGAUCCUGCCUGUGUUAGACACUGCACUCCAGCCUGAGCAGCAUAGCCAGGCCCUAUCUCU